CAAGUCGUGGGGCAGCAGCUCUGUAGCAAUACAGAGGCUGGCGACCGGCAAACGGGUGCGGAACACGUACACAACCUUCCUUCGAGUGGGGAAUAGCCCGGGGAAACCCGGAUUAAUACCCCGUAACAUAAUGAAGUGGCAUCACUUUAUUAUUAUAGCUCCGGCGCUUGAAGAUGGGUGUGCGACUGAUUAGGCAGUUGGCGGGGUAACGGCCCACCAAACCUACGAUCAGUAACUGGUGUGAGAGCACGACCAGUCACACGGGCACUGAGACACGGGCCCGACUCCUACGGGAGGCAGCAGUAAGGAAUAUUGGUCAAUGGACGCAAGUCUGAACCAGCCAUGCCGCGUGGAGGAUGAAGGUCCUCUGGAUUGUAAACUUCUUUUAUCUGGGAAGAAAUCCACGAAUUCUUUUGUGGUUGACGGUACCAGAUGAAUAAGCACCGGCUAACUCCGUGCCAGCAGCCGCGGUAAUACGGAGGGUGCAAGCGUUAUCCGGAUUCACUGGGUUUAAAGGGUGCGUAGGUGGGCAGGUAAGUCAGUGGUGAAAUCUCCGGGCUUAACUCGGAAACUGCCAUUGAUACUAUCUGUCUUGAAUACCGUGGAGGUCAGCGGAAUAUGUCAUGUAGCGGUGAAAUGCUUAGAUAUGACAUAGAACACCAAUUGCGAAGGCAGCUGGCUACACGAAUAUUGACACUGAUGCACGAAAGCGUGGGGAUCAAACAGGAUUAGAUACCCUGGUAGUCCACGCCCUAAACGAUGGAUACUCGACAUACGCGAUAUACUGUGUGUGUCUGAGCGAAAGCAUUAAGUAUCCCACCUGGGAAGUACGAUCGCAAGAUUGAAACUCAAAGGAAUUGGCGGGGGGUCCGC
rnacentral:rRNA from 1 species